AUUGACUUGAGUGCCAAACGCGAGUCGCUAGUGUCCAGGAAAGAUGCGCGCGUUCUACACAAUUCUCGUGUUGGCGAUUCUUUUCGCAAACCUCGUUCAGAGUUGGUCCUUCACAAAUAUCGCCAUGUCCAUUGACAGACUAAUACGGCCUCCGAAAAAUGACACUUCGCAAGUUUUGAAUUUCAACGAGAAUGAACGCACUACGACGGAAGUGACGGUGUUGGGUAGAAUAAUAGUGGUACCACGAAGAAAUGUAGCUAACUGUCAACCGGGCCAACAACGCGAUCGGCGUGGCAAGUGUAGGACGAUAUGGUGAAUGGAUAUCACAAAUACCGAGGAAAAUUUAUAUAGAUGAACGGACUAUACUUAUUCACGAAAGCAACUAUUUCCGGAAAGGCGAAAGAUUGUUUGGAAAAUUGUAAAUCAUGGAAACUAUAUAUAGAUUUAUAUGAGGAUCAUCCAAUUAAUUAAUCACGUGUGUACAACUAGUACAAUGAAGAUCUACAUUCAUAGAAUCGAAAUGUCAUCCACGGACUUUGAAGCAACCAAGAUAUUGGCAUCCUAUCAGUAAUUUAUUUUAUCGUGCAUACUUGUCGCAAACGGAAAUGUAUUUUAACUCUUUAUCAAGCGUGGAUUAAUUAAAAUAUUACGUAAAUUAGUGUCCCACCACUCAAUGAUUAAAUUUAUUAAUCAAACAUGUAUAAAUUAAAACACCACUGCAUGUAAUUGUUAUGUAUUAUAAUAUUAUUGUUCACGCGAUUAUUUCAAAGGGUUAAGCAAAGAGAUAUGCAAAGUGAACAAUAAAUAUACGUAGAUAUUUGUAAAUGUAUAUUGGCUUAUAUAGAAUAAUAUUAUAAAACGUAUAUCUCAAAUGCAUCUGUAAAUUUCUCUAUUUCCUACAUUUCCAUUGAUUCACCAAACGCCAAGUUGAUUCACCAAGAUUUAUGCGCAACGUACCGAGGAAAGCUCGAAUGCGCGACGUACAUGCUUAAUCAUUCUCAAUAAUUUAUCGCAUUACGGAAGUUUCGGAUAAAGGUACGUGCGUAAGCAAUCAGGAUAUGAUUUCAACCGCAAAUUAAGAGUGACAAAACGCGAGAGGGGAACAGGAAACCACACUGAUGAGAACCUGAGUCGUAUAUAAACACAUGUGUUCCCAUCACUGUAGUAGUCAGUAGUUAAUUAGCAUUUUGAUGUUGUAAGUAACAUCGAGCGGAGAAAAACCGUAGCGUCAGUUCAUUUAUUUUACAUUUAUCUCUCUUUCUUUUUUUGUCUUUUUCUUCUCAGUUCAAUUUGAGAUUGAUAGUUCGAGAGAUUCAAUAUUGACGGCAACAAUGGCACCGAUACGAUUGCUUCUGCUUAUUAUCGUGUCGAUGAUGCUAAUAUUAACAUGUGGAGGACGGCCACUAACUUUUCCCAGAAGGAAUGGACCACAACAACAAAAAUGUCCAGUAGGCUAUAGGCCUACUCGUACUGGAGGAUGCAGAAAAAUUGUAACCGGAACCUUUUAAACUGCGACAUGUUUCCAUGCACGAGAUAUAUACCAAUAUUCAAGAAAAAGAACAAAUUCUAAGUAAUUAACGCUAUUACAAAGUAAAGUGGAUAGUUAAUGAUAAUUAUUUUUUUUUUCAUACAGUAUAUGUAAGUACAGAAAACACCACAGGGUAUAUUAAUCCAAAGAAACUAUGUUAAAAUGAGAGUAAUCAGAAGACAUCUAUUUUCUUUUUUAUAAUGCAAUAUUAUAUGUUACAGCUUCAAUUAUGCAGCAUUAUUAAAAUAUUGUAUUUGUAUAAAAUUGUUUAAAUAAUUCUUGUUUAUUGAUAAUACGCUUUUCUAACGAACACGCACAUUAAAUAAUAAUUAUAUGUACUAUAACUCUAAUAAAAAUAAUAUAAUAUACUUUAACAAA